rnacentral:tRNA from 1 species
GCCGGUGUGUUGGAAUGGUAGACAUCGGGGUCUUAAAAACCCCUUCCGAUAGGAGUGCCGGUUCGAGUCCGGCCACCGGCACCA